rnacentral:RNase_P_RNA from 1 species
GCGGAGGGCCGGAUGGCCGCGAGGGGCAACUCUCGAGGAAAGUCCGGACUCCACAAGGCAACGGUGCCGGGUAACGCCCGGCGGGGGCAACCCCAGGGAAAGCGCCACAGAGAACAGACCGCCCGCGUCCCCUCGGUUCGCGGGUAAGGGUGAAACGGUGCGGUAAGAGCGCACCGCGGGACUGGCAACAGGACCGGCAAGGCAAGCCCCACCGGGAGCAAUGCCGAAUAGGAACCUCGCGCGGGGCGUAGUCGGGCAACCGAAACCGUCACCGCAGGGCCGCCUUGGCCCGGAGGUUCGGGUUGGCAGCUGGAGGGCGGGGGCAAUCCCGCUCCUAGAUGAAUGGUCAUCGAACCGGCGCAAGCCGGGGAACAGAAUCCGGCUUACAGGCCCUCCGCGCAU